GUGUGGUUUACGUUACGGUCCUUGCCUUCCUAAGUCUUGGAGAUAUUCCAAGCUACUGUUAUGGACGGGAUACUCACUCUAUUCAUUCACUUCACAUUUCAAAGAGCAUGGUGAAAUCAGUAUUCUACAAUGAUGAUUCAUUAUCUCAGAAAAGAUAUGAAAGAGCUUGUUCUCUUGAUGCCAACACACUUAUAUAUUUAAUUAAAAAUUCUUUACCGCAUGUCAAUUCUUUAAAUGUGGUCCAUGAUGAUUCAACUGAAGCAGUGUCGUUACUCAAAAACUUCCAAAAUUCAGAAUCUAUUUUCACAGUUCAGAUAAGAACAUUUCUCAUUAAUGCCAAUUUUACCAAUAAUAUCUUUGAGUGGCAUAGUCAACUGUCAUUGCUGAACCCAUUUCUUCUUCUGUCUACCGAUCCAAAACAAGCGGAAUCUCUUCUUCUGAUCUUAGAAAAUGAAGGCAAAUUUUCAUCAUCACCUGUUAUACUGCUUGGAUUAGUGCCCAACACUUUAUGGAGGAAUGCAUUACGUCGGACUGUGGGUUUGAGAAGGGCGGUGCUGCUGUUGCCAAUGAGGUCACGAAGAUGUCCAGUGUUUCAAGUAACAUCGUAUUUACCCUAUAAUCCUAAAGGAGCAAGAUUUAUUUCCAAGGUUGUUAAUGUCAUAUCAACAGGAGGACCUCGCAUUCAACUAUUUAUUGAUCGGUUUCCGAACUUCCACGGGCACAAGUUUCACAUUGCGAGUUGGAUCGAUGAUUUUCCAUACCUUUUCUAUGAUACAGCGGGUCAAGUCAGUGGCAUUGGGGAGUCUAUGCUGAGUGAGCUAUCAAGCCGUUUAAAUUUUAGUUAUCAUCUACAAGACUUACCGCCUGAUGGCUACUGGGGAGAGUUAAUCAAUGGCAGCUGGGUGGGUAUGCUUGGCCAAGUGGUACGUCAGGAAAAGGACUUCCUCAUCAACGGCAUGGCACUAGUACUGGAUCGUUACCAAG